rnacentral:tRNA from 1 species
GCCGAGGUGGCGGAAUGGCAGACGCUCAGGUCUCAAAAACCUGUGAGGCUAACACCUCGUGGAGGUUCGACUCCUCUCCUCGGCACCU